UUAAAUAAGUGUUUAAUCAACGUGCAGAAAACAACGUCUACUCUAGAAAUUAGUAAUAUGUCGUUAUUUAAUGAAACUAACAUCUGUGCUUGUGGUAAAAUAAAAGGUUUAAUGAAUAGUACAAAUUGGCUAAGACAUACUAAAUCGUGCAAAAAACGAAAAUCAGUACUUUGUACUGCAAAACUGAAUACAUUUUUUAAAUCUUCUAGACUAUCAAAUGAUGUUUCUGACAAAGGUAUGAGUACUUUUUGUUUAUUAUAAUUUAGUUAUAAACAAGUAUUAUAAAAUAAACUACUUUUAACUAGCUAUUUCUACAACUCGCUCUUAUAUUAAAUCUUACAUUAUUGAAACUGUAGGUACCUAUAAUUUUGUUUUUAUUAAUAUUUAUUUUUUCAGUUGACAGUUCUAAUUUGAAUACUGUCAGUAGCAUAUCAAAAUCAUCAAUAGAAAUGGAUGUUCAAGGUUCAAAUACAAAUAAUACUAUAUUAUUGCCUGAGAAGUUUAAGAUUAUAGUUCCAACAUUGGAGGUUGAUUUAAAGUCGAACGAGGAGUCAAAUGAAAAUGAAUCUGAAGUAGCUAUAUCUACUACACUAAUGGCUGAACCAAGUAAUUUAUAUAUUAUAUUUUUACUAAUAAGUUAUACCUAUAUUUUAUAAUUUUUUUUUUAUAUUUCUGGGGCUUGGGUCAAAAAGGGCCAAUGUCACUUUUAAUCACUUUUGGGAAAUCAAGAAUAAAACAUAUUUUUUUUUUAAAUAAUUUUUAUUAGUUUUAUUUUUCAUUGUACAAGUAAUUGUUUUUAUGAUGGAUGU